GUAAGUAUAAAUAAUAAAAAAACUGGAGGAAGCAGAUGAAGCAAAGCUUAGCCUACACGAUUACUGAAAUGCAACUACUUGACUGAAAAAUGCCUGCAAGAUUGAGUAAAACCCACAGAAUUUUGGAUAAGCACUCAGAAUAUCCACUGCAGUUCUGUAUUUACCACGUGUAUGAAUGAGAAUGGAAAGAAAAUAUAAUUCUCCUCAUUUCAUCUCAUUCAAUAUAGGAAUUACUUAUUGAAAGAAACUUCUGUAAGUUACCAGCUUUGAGACCAGCUACAUCUGUACACGCCACAAGUUAUCUAAUUAAACGAACACAUUUAGCACUUUGUAGCAGCUUGAAUUUUUCAAAUCAUUCCGAGCUUGAAUAAAUUUCUUCACUUUAUUCCCCCAGUACCUGUGCGUAACCCUCACAGCUCACUUACUUGUCAAGUUAAACUUCCACAGCAGAACAGAAAUUAGAAGUUAAACAUGCAGCAUGAACAAAGAACAUCCUGUUGUUCUUUUCAGAGGGUCAGACUCGAGUGUAGUCAUCGCAUCAGUCAACUAUUUUCCCUUCCACAGUAAUUAAAGGAAGGAAAUUAGCAUGUAUUACUUUCCAAAAGUUUCUAUGAUAAUGAAGUUAAAAAUCUGGACAGUCCUAAGUCUUAUCGUCACUUUGACAGCAGAGGCAUAUGCCUCAGCUUCCAUAUUCCCAAUGCAAAAAUACAAUAAUUUCUUUAAUGUUCCCAAAAAAUGAAGAGUGAGGUUGUUGUGUUGAACAGGAUUAAACUACCCAAAGUUUCAUACUGCUGUUAGCAAUUACUCUCACCGAGAGAAAUGCAACUGCCGAAGGUAUUAAUUGAUACUAGGUCCACACAACAGGUUUCUUGUUAUUCGUAAUGAUUCAGGUAUUUAAUUUUCACUCUAAUUUAGGGUGUUAAGCAUAAGUAACCACUCUACUUCAUAUUUGUUCUAAUGUCUGGGUCAAGUGUAUUUCCUGUGCAAAACAUCUAUUUCAAUAAAGUUUAAACCACUCCAUACAUUGUUCUUAGCUAUUCUGUUUAUUAAAAAACAUGAGCUACCUUAAGUUUGCAUUAAACCAACCUGAUUGCUCUGAAGUAAAAGGCUACCUUACAAAGUUAGUGUGACCUACUCCUUUAAAUACCAGAUCUGCUCCUCAGCUUAACUGGGAAGGGAAUUAUUUCUUGCCAUUUUAUAUUAUGCUUACAGAGCACCCCUGGCACCAGUGCGUACCAUAGUAUUGCUUACUGUAGUUAGCUAGCAUGCCAACUUGUUAUUUGUAACUAUUAAUAGAAAUUGAAAGAUCAGAUCACCUAACCCCUCUCCUCCUGCAACAGCUGGCUUUAAAUUAGACCUUUUAUAUCUAGCACACUACACUUCUUCCCUUGGCGUUCUGAAAAAUCGUUUUAUAGAUCUGUCUCUCCAAAGUCUGUCCAGAAGUUCCUCUCCACUAAGCUCACAGUGCAAGACUCCACAGGGAUACCAAAGAUCUGAUGUUCAUUCUUGACAAUAACCCACUGCCAGAAUCAGUUCUCGAACCUAUUUUUCCAGAUGCCGUACAGCUAUGUUGUUAGUGGUACAAUGUCUUUUUAAAAUCCACGAUGUUUAAGAUCGUAAGGUGGAGAAAGAAACUCUAAGUUACUUAGUGGUAUGCCUAGAUAACAGAUUUGCUGCAGUAUUGCUCUUGGACUUGUGUCAGAAAUGUUUACAGCCAGCUAACUUCUUUUAAUUCUGUACAUUGCUUUGCUCCUUUGGUAUAACAUAUAUACCUUAAAUUUGAACACCACUGUCUUUAUCUCUCUCAAAAUUUCAAUAUAAAAUGUUUAAUAUAUUGAAUUUGAAAAACCUUCAGCCGUUUCUCCUAAGUACUAAGCUAAUUCAUAUCCGUUAAGAACCCUCCAGAAAAAUUCAUCCACGACUGCUUAAAACACUGUCUGAUCAUCUGAUCGUGUAGACCAUGACCAUUAGAAUUAAGUUUAAAAGCCUGAACCGUCAUACAUUUCUCCCUGAAUAUUUGCAAUAUUUGCCUUUUCGGUGGAAGCUUUCCACAUUUUAUUUCUACCCACAGAUGAAUCAUAGACUUUUAACCAAAAUUCAUGUGACCAUUUUUGGGUAUAACAAAGAUAGUAACAGAAGCGGGAAAGAAAAAAAGCUUUUCCAGAGUAUUAAGAAGUGUUUCUUUUAGAAGGCAACCAUAGCUAAAAAGACAAAGUUUAAAACUUGGCAGUAAUAUACUAAACUUCCACAAAUAAUAUUAAUUCACUUAGAUUGAUCGAGUUACUAUAUGCCAUCUUUUUUUCCUCUUUGUCCAAACAGCUAUAGGGAAGAUGUGACAGCAGAAAUACUGCUGUCAAUAACAAUACUCAUUUCUGAAUGCGCUCCUGAACUCGCCUGCUGAUCUUAAAACUCCAAUAUUUAAACAACCCUUUUUCCACAUACAUUCUUUUUUGAGGGCGUUAAGAUAAUCCAGAAGUGGAAUAGAGGUUUUGCUGACAUUAAGUGCUGAAACCAAAAAUACUGUUCUUUAAACACAGUACAAUGCUACGGAUACCUCAGUUUCACACUGCAAAAAGCAGUAAUGAAAUUGCUAUCAUUCGAGUUUUACAAGGCCAUAUUAGCCAAAGUCCUCAGUUACACAUUACAAAGCUAUGCCUACUUACAAUUUUUUUGGCCAAUGAAAGAAUCCAUUUACCACUAUUUUCUAUAAGCUUUUCUUAAGACAGAAACUAAGCAAUUUUCUCUGCAAGCCCUGGACAAGCCUACAGCCUUAUUACUGCUGCACUUGGACAGGUACAACACGUUUAAAAAGUAGAAGCGAAGCACAGGAAUUAUUCACAAGGGAAAGGAACUAAGAUGAAAGAUCAAGAGAUUUUUGGAAAGGAAAGGAAAAAAAAUAUCUUACUAGGGGCUAAAGAGCUCUGAGAUGGAAGACAAAGUGCUCUGUCCCCUGCCAGGAGCUAAGGAAAAGAGAAAAAGGGGCUUGAGGUUUACUGCACAUCUACAGAGAGAAUCUGAAGUGAAGGUACCAUGACGCUACCUUGCUCCAAGCUGCUGGAGGAAGCCAGGACUGGCUCUCUGAACUUAGUGCUAAUGAACGCUAGAUCAUUCACUUGAUCUCAGUCUACCCACAGCAAGUCAAUAAACAGAACACCACAGCUACUACAGCUUCCAGUCAACUCCCUGCCGUUCAGCUCCACAUCGUACUAAAAAUCUCAGUUAAAUUGUACCGUACCUAUGAAGGAACCAAAUAAACCCAAACACAAGAAACAAAGCAAUAAUACUCUUCCUCGGAAAGGGAACGGUGGAGAACAUUUCUGAUCCUGACUGAUGAGAGCAUACAUCACCCGCCCCACAAUGAGCUCAGUAACCCUACAUUAAAGUAACCCUACGGCUUUUAAUUAGACAUCUGGAGUGUGCUUUUUAAUGCUCCAGACCAGUUGCUCUAAGCUUUCUGUAAUGCCUGUAAUGGAAAUCUAGACCCUGGCAUAGCAAACCCUCUGGUAAAUCUACUGAUAAUAGGCUUACUCUUUUUCCUUCACAGACCUCGUUAUUAGCACGAGUGUACAAAAAUACAAGAUGAAACCACUACGCAGCCUUCGGUAGGAUUUUCUGCUGCUUCUGUAAAUUUCCCAUGUGAUUUUGAAUGUUUUUCAUGGUGAAACAAGUCAGAAAAUCUUGGAACGCGCUAAUACAGGUCCCCGUGAACUUAUGUUGGAAAACUAGCACGAGGCAGGCCUAUUUAACUUCACUGCUGAUACAAACUUGUUUGCACUGUAGUUAAUGAUUCAGUUCUUUCAUUUUCCUUCCUGCAAAGUUUUUUUUAAUCUUAUCUCUGCAUUGAAAUAAUGGAUACAAAGUACUACGAAAAUAACUUUUCAAAUCUUAAGAAUACAGAAUGAUAUCUUGACAGCUGAAAAACUCUUUUACUCCUUUUUGACUAUGAAACUAUUUGCUCUUCCAUAGCCUUAACUUUCGCUAUUUUGUGCCUGAGUAAACCAAGCUGGAAACAAUACAAGUAUUUAUAUUCAC